GUGCUAAAUAUAUAAUAUAAUAAGGUCAGUUUCCGACAUUUUCUGCCAUUAAAAUAGUUCAUGAAGUAUCGGUAAUUAUUACCCUAAUUUGGCAAGCACUCCCUAGACCAAUGAACAAUAUGUUUCCUUGUGAAAAGCUCUCGAGACUGUAGUUUUUUAAACUGUGAGGUAUAUCAAUCAUCUCGUGGGAUAUAAUGAUUAUUUAU